CCAGAACAUAUAUUUUACUCAAGUUGCAUAAUGGAGAUAUCAGAUAUGCAUGAGUCCAGAAAAGGACAGGGGCGAAAAUGACUUAGCACUUGUCAUCCUCCUUUUGUGUGCAAGGGAAUUGGACACAACACAAGUAGAGAUACAAUACAGGUGCAUCAAAACAAGACAGACAAAGACAAGUGCCAGAGUGCCUUCCGCCCCCGGUUCAGGCCGGUUCAUCAGCCAGCUGCUCAUGACGCGUAUGUCUGUGCAUGCGUGUGGCGUGAGCAUCGGGCGACGACGACGGACCACGCACCGUGCAGCUAGCCAUGGCCAUCGGGUUUGGCGCCACGGACUGAUCUCGGUGGUUGCAGCAGCAGCAGCGCCCGAUCAGCUUCGAUUCAGAGUAAGGCACUCGGUGGUUGUUUGGUCGGCAUGUCGAACGCCGAUCAGCGCACGGCCAGCGUAACGCUUGCAGGUGUGACGCGUGCGGCAGCGGAAACGCGGACCAGCCGGCGCCGGCGCCGGCGACGACGAACGAACGGCCGGCCGGCCGCAUGGUUGCUUAUCUGUAACAAAUUGUUGCACGGCACCACCGAAACUGAAAACUGUGACAGAGCAACUGGGCAGCUACUCGUGCACUACAUUUGACGGCAACGGCAACGGCAAGAAGAUGCUACACUAGCGAGCAGUACACUCCAAGCAUGUAGCGUCAUCUAGUGCAAGUGGGCCAGCCGUCGCCGGAUAAUAUCGGACGAUGCGGCUACCAGAGCAGGGCAGGCUACGGAGAUAUUUUUUACAUGAACUUAUCCACAGCGACGCCGGAACAGUACAGAGCGCUACUCUAUACCUUGCUUCGUUGCGUGUGCUCGCUCCUACCACUAGGUCUCUGCUGCUUGCGAUGGCCAUGGGCCCAUGGCCACGCCCAUGCUCCCCUCCGUCGUCCCUCACGCAAUGACCACGGCGACGGUGUCGCUGUCCGGGCGGCGGGCGCUCUGCUGGGCCACUCCCCUGCCGCCUGUGGCACUGGCACUGGCAGGCUUGGCGUCCAUGACGGGGCGGCGGCACGUCGGGCACGAGCCGCGGGACAGCAGCCAGGCGUCGACGCACGGGACGUGGAACGCGUGGCCGCACCGCGGCAGCACGCGCACCUUCUCGCCGUCCGCGAACUCGCCGAGGCAGAUGGCGCACACGUCCCCGCUCCCGGCCCCCUCCUCCUCGUCGUCUUUCGCAUCCCCGCCGACGUAAACCUCCACGGGGAUGCUCCGCAGCGCGCGCUUCUUGAUCCCGCCCCGGACGCCCGCGCAGGACGACGCGGCGACGCUCGGCGACGCCGCCACCUCGCCGCCCCCGGCCGCGGCCCGGCCUCCGCACCAGAGCGCGAACCUGGCCAGCGAGUUGAGCGCGAUGGCGAGCAGCAGCGCCAGGAACAGCGCCGCCAGCAGGAUCACCGUGUUGGUGUCGAAGGUCGCGUCGACGACCCCGGGCGCCGCCGCGCCCGCGCCUCCGACGCCGCCAGUGCCGUUCACGGCCGGCCCCGGCGCCUCGGAGGAGUCCCGGCGGUCCAUGUGCCACCAGCUCUCGCGCACGAAUGCUCGUUCCUUCCUGCCGUGCUCUGUCCGCGGCAGUAACUGCUAACUAGUCGCGAUGCACGUUUCGGGAGUGUUGCGCGGCGAGUGUGCUUGUAUAAAGGGGGCGAUCCGUUCCGUUCCGUUCCUCUCGGUGUUGUCGAAGGGCUUCAAGGGAUAGGCACUCGACCGACGUGUGGUGCCGCCCGCUCGCUUUUUGGUUGCUUUGUAGGCAAAGCUAGCUAGCAGGAGGACUGGAAGAUGAAGUAGAGAAUACUAUACCUUCCUUGCGUUGCGUGCUUAGGCAGGCGGACAAUGCAAUGCAAGCCCCGAAGAUUUGGAAGCUACCUAGCUCGCUAGUCGGCUCUGGUGCAUUUUGGAGCGGUGGAAAGGGCGUCUCGCGACCGUCGACGGCCGUCGGGUCUCCGUGAGCAGUUAGUUGGUCACUUGCCUGGUCGGACUCGGAGCGCAAAAGCGCACGCCUUGGCCUGCGGUGUUUAGCGAGCUGCCCGCGUCGCGUUGGCUGGGUACGCGGGGAUUUUUUUUAUUUAAUUGGCCGCGCCCGCUCGUGGCACACUGGCGACGGCACGAGACGUUCUUUCAGGGAUUCCUCCGAUCGGAGUGUGUCACCGAGCUCGCUUUUUAAAGCCUUUGGAGCGUUUGUUACUGG